rnacentral:rRNA from 1 species
CCUACGGGUGGCAGCAGUGAGGAAUAUUGGUCAAUGGGCGAGAGCCUGAACCAGCCAAGUCGCGUGAAGGAUGACGGCCCUACGGGUUGUAAACUUCUUUUGUCAGGGCGCAAUUGGGUCCAUGCGUGGGCUUAGCGAGAGUACCUGAAGAAAAAGCAUCGGCUAACUCCGGCCCAGCAGCCGCGGUAAUACGAGGGAUGCGAGCGUUAUCCGGAUUUUUUGGGUUAAAGGGGUGCGUAGGCGGAAUAUUAAGUCAGCGGUAAAAAGUCGGGGCUCAACCCCGUCGUGCCGUUGAAACUGAUGUUCUUGAGUGGGCGAGAAGUAUGCGGAAUGCGUGGUGUAGCGGUGAAAUGCAUAGAGAUCACGCAGAACGCCGAUUGCGAAGGCAGCAUACCGGCGCCCAACUGACGCUGAAGCACGAAAGCGUGGGUAUCGAACAGGAUUAGAUACCCCAGUAGUC